UUUGUCGUGAGACAAAAGCUGAAGGAAGCGUGUACCAAAAUCUUGGUCCGACGAACAGAAAUCUGAUACAAAGGCUUUAUAGGCGGAUGAGACUCCAAUUCAAGUCAAAGUCCAUGUAUAUGAGAAAUUACGGUUCUAUACACCUGAUAAAUGGAGUUAAGUAAUCUAA
rnacentral:ncRNA from 1 species